rnacentral:ribozyme from 13 species
UCCAGUAUUUCCAUCUCUUCUUUUUCUUUUCUUUCUUCUUCCUUCCUCCUC